rnacentral:rRNA from 1 species
AUGAUCGCCUCCAUCGCUACCCCGAUGGGCCGCGCCACCACUACAACCCCCGGUGCCCAGUCCCGGUGGCCGUGUGCCGUUGCGCAGCUCCACCUGGCUCUCCGCUCGCCAGCCGCGCGGAGUGGUAGCAGCGGGCACUGGAUGGGAUGCUUCAGGCCGGCGCCGGUGCCCGCGCCGUCGUCACCAGCGGUUACGGUGGCGGUGAACGAGGGGAGGGGGAAGCGGCCGGAGGCAACGGAGGUGGAUAUGGAGCCGGCACGCGGCGGAGGGGAGGACUUAUGGAGCGUUCAGGCCGAGGCGGAGGUAGCGCAGGGCGGGGAGUACCCGGAGCACCUUGUCAUCAUGGUCAAUGGCCUCGUGGGGAGUGCGGAUGACUGGAAGUUUGCAGCUGAUCAGUUUGUGAGGCGGAUGCCAGACAAAGUGAUCAUCCACCGGAGUCAAUGCAACUCUGCUACACAGACAUUUGACGGAGUUGACUUGAUGGGAGAAAGGUUAGCAAACGAGGUUCUAUCAGUUGUCGAGCAAAGAAGAGGUGUGAAGAAGAUCUCAAUUGUGGCGCACUCUCUGGGUGGUCUUGUUGCCAGAUAUGCUAUAGGAAGGCUUUACGAAUGUAGUAACAGAACUAAAUGUUCCAUUGGGAACAACAGAGAGCAAGUUGAAUGCUUGGAGGGUCUCAUUGCCGGCUUAAAACCUAUGAACUUUAUAACCUUUGCAUCACCACAUCUGGGUUCAAGUGGAAACAAACAGCUCCCCUUUCUAUGUGGCUUGCAUUUUCUGGAGCGAAGAGCAUCAGAAACUGCACAUUUGAUUGUUGGAAGAACUGGAAAGCAUUUAUUCCUUACAGACAGUGAUGAUGGUAGGCGUCCACUCCUUCUUCAAAUGGUUCAGGAUCAUGAUGAUAUAAAAUUCAGAUCCGGAUUGCGCUCUUUCAAACGACGUGUGGCAUAUGCGAAUGCCAAUUUUGACCAUAUGGUGGGUUGGAGAACAUCGUCAAUCCGGCGUCAACACGAGUUGCCAAAACAUCGCCUUCUUGUUCGUGAUGAGAAGUAUCCACAUAUAGUCCAUGUUGAUAGAGGAAUUAUGGACAGAAAUGAAACCGAAGUGAGUGCUAAUCUCUGUGGCCCAGAAGAGGAGAUGAUAAGAGGCCUAACACAACUGCAGUGGGAACGUGUUGAUGUGAGCUUCCAGAAAAGUAGUCAAAGAUUGGUUGCGCAUAACACCAUCCAGGUAAAGAGCUAUUGGCUUAACUCAGAUGGGGCAGACGUUAUCAGUCACAUGAUGGAUAAUUUCCUCGUCUAG